AUUGAACGCUGGCGGCAUGCUUUACACAUGCAAGUCGAACAGUAACAGGCCGCAAGGUGCUGACGAGUGGCGAACGGGUGAGUAAUGCAUCGGAACGUGCCCAGUCGUGGGGGAUAACUACUCGAAAGAGUAGCUAAUACCGCAUACGAUCUAUGGAUGAAAGCGGGGGACCGUAAGGCCUCGCGCGAUUGGAGCGGCCGAUGUCAGAUUAGGUAGUUGGUGGGGUAAAGGCUCACCAAGCCAACGAUCUGUAGCUGGUCUGAGAGGACGACCAGCCACACUGGGACUGAGACACGGCCCAGACUCCUACGGGAGGCAGCAGUGGGGAAUUUUGGACAAUGGGCGCAAGCCUGAUCCAGCAAUGCCGCGUGCAGGAAGAAGGCCUUCGGGUUGUAAACUGCUUUUGUAAGGAACGAAACGGCUCUGGUUAAUACCCGGGGCUAAUGACGGUACCGUAAGAAUAAGCACCGGCUAACUACGUG
rnacentral:rRNA from 1 species